rnacentral:rRNA from 2 species
UUAUUGGAGAGUUUGAUCCUGGCUCAGGAUGAACGCUGGCGGCGUGCCUAAUACAUGCAAGUCGAGCGAAUGGAUUAAGAGCUUGCUCUUAUGAAGUUAGCGGCGGACGGGUGAGUAACACGUGGGUAACCUGCCCAUAAGACUGGGAUAACUCCGGGAAACCGGGGCUAAUACCGGAUAACAUUUUGAACCGCAUGGUUCGAAAUUGAAAGGCGGCUUCGGCUGUCACUUAUGGAUGGACCCGCGUCGCAUUAGCUAGUUGGUGAGGUAACGGCUCACCAAGGCAACGAUGCGUAGCCGACCUGAGAGGGUGAUCGGC